rnacentral:lncRNA from 1 species
CAGCCUAGUAGUUUUUACUCACUGUGUAUGGAUCUCUAAGCAGUAUAGUUUGAGUCUGUUAUUGAAUAUCAUUUAAAUGGAAUCUUAACUGUAUUCUGCUGUAUUAGUCCAUUUUCACGCUGCUGAUAAAGACAUACCUGAGACUGGGUAAUUUAUAAAGAAAAAGAGGUUUAAUGGACUCACAGUUCCACGUGGCUGGGGAGGCCUCACAAUCAUGGUGAGAGGCAUGUCUUACAUGGCAGCAGACAAGAGAGAAUGAGAGCCAAGUGGAAGGGGUUUCCCCUUAUCAAACCAUCAGAUCUCAUGAGACUUAUUCACUACCAUGAGAACAGUAUGGGGGAAACUGCCUCCAUGAUUCAGUUAUCUCUCACUGGGUCCCUCCCACAACACGGAAUUAUGGGAGCUACAAUUCAAGAUGAGAUUUGGGUGGGGACACAGCUAGACCAUAUCAUCUGCGCUGUGCUGCUUUCACUCACUAUGCUGUUGUAGUCAACCAUGCUGUUGCAGGUUUCUGAUUUUCAUUGCGGAAUAUAUUCCAUAAUAUCACUACUGCAUUUCAAGAGAAAUCCAUUCCACUGUUGCUGAAUUAUGGGUUGUGUCUUUAUUUGGACUAUUUUAACAAAAAUACCGGCCAGUCCCAGUGUCUCAAGCCUGUAAUCCUAGCACUUUGGGAGGCCGAGGCAGGCAGAUAGAUUGAGCCCGGGAGUUGGAGACUAGCCUGGGCAACAUGGCAAAACCCUGCCUCUACAAAAAAAUAGAAAAAUUUGCCAGGCAUGGUGGUGCACACCUGUAGUCCCAGCUACUCAGGAGGCUGAGGUGGGAGGAUCACUUGACCCUGGGAGGUCGAAGCUGCAGUAAGCUGUGAUCAUGCCAUUGCACUCCAACCUGGGCAUCAGAGUGAGACCCUGUCUCUAGAAAAAAAAUCCCAUAGUCUGGGUGGUUUAAAUAAUGAACAUUGAUUUCUCACAGCUGUAGAGGCUGAG